CCUCUAGAAGACUCCCAAACAUGGAAGUCUCGCUCGCGCGUCCCGCCUUCUUGUUUCGUCUUGAAUCUCUCCUCUUUCACUUCGUCACGCGCUCACACGGACAAAUUAACCUGAGAGAGAGAGACAGACAGAGACAGAGACAGAGAUGCGCAGCAGUUGGUUCUCUGUGUUUUGUUCUUCAUUUGUAUUGGCAAUGUCGCUGCGCUCGGGUGUCAUUUUCUCGAUGGUUUUUUUUUUGGGUAUUUUCAUGAGGAAAGCUUUUUCCCUUUUGAAGCAGAAAUUUGGUCAGUCUUUUGAAGUUUCUCGUGUUUGGUUCAGGUCAUUUGGGGAGGUGGUAGGAAAAGAAAGGGACGAGGUAAACAAUUAAUGGGUCUAAAACAAUGCCCUGAACCAAGGGCUUGCAGCUGAACUGUUUGAUCAAAUGUCUCAAUCACGUAACAUUCCGGUUAUUACAACUCUCGUAGUAUGCUAAACAGCGAAUGCUAGGUUGCUUGAUUUAUUCCAAGAUCAAGGAUAAAGAUGGGCCUUCCUAUGUGAUGCAUAUCUUUUGGUGUUGGAGAUAGGGCUUCCAAGGAGGGUAAAGAGGCACUGCAUCGGUCGAUCCUUUUGCAAGCUUGACUUACCAAUUAGCCAAGACCUCUGGAGCCGUUACUAGUGCAGGUUCGACAUAUGCUAAAGAGAUUGUGGAGCAAUAAAGAUGAUAUUUCCUGCAGGAGAUGACGAUGCAUUGGUUGUGGCAAAAGCUCAAGCUGUGGUGUCGCUACACCAGAAAGAAGCAGAGUUACUGAGUCCCAAAGAAAGAACAAGCUUAAAUAUUCAGAAAAGGAAAAGCAUCAUAAACCCGAGGAAGAUCACAGCCAUCCUUUCCAUUGCCUCAUUGGUGCUUCAACUUUCCUGAGGCAAAACCAAAGGCUGCCAUCCACCCUGAAGGACCAAAGCUGAAUGACGACAUCCUUCAUGAGUUCAUUCCGCGUGUAAGGAUGCGCAACUGCAUUCCACCUCUCUGUCAGCAUAUAAGAAAAAUUUUUGCUCGUGUAAUUCCACUUCUUAAGUCGCAACCCAUGAGAAACUUCGAGACACGGCUCAAUGAGGAAAACCUUAAUGCCCUCCUUCCUAUUUAGGAUUCGGAUCUCUUCUUCGCUCAAGAAACCUUGCCUUAUCUGCUUGUUGGGUAUAGAGAGCCUACUUUGGCCGCAGCUCAUGUCU